GAUGAACGCUGGCGGCGUGCCUAAUACAUGCAAGUCGAGCGAAAAGACGAGGAGUUUGCUCCUCUGACGUUUGCCGCGGAGGGGAGUGUAACACGUGGAUAACCCACUUAUAAGUCUGGGAACACUUGGGGACACCGGAUCAAACAGCGGAUGAUAUAUUGAACCGCAUGGGUCGAUAGUGAAAGUCGGCGUUUGUGUCACGUCUCGAUGGUUCCGCGCCGCUUUAUCUAGUUGUUGAGGUAACGGGUUACCACGGCGACGAUGCGUAGCCGACCGGUGAGGGUGAUCGGCCACAUUAGAGCUGAGACACGGACCUGACUCCUGCGAGAGGCAGCAGUAGGGAACCGGCCGCAAUAGGCGGAAGCCUUACAGAGCAACGCGGCGUGAGUGAUGAAAGUCUUCGGAGCGGGAAACUCUGUUAUUAGGGAUGAACAGAUGUGUAAUGAGCUGUACACGUCUUGACGGUACCUAAUCAGAAAGCCACGGCUAACUACGUG
rnacentral:rRNA from 1 species